rnacentral:rRNA from 1 species
UGGGGAAUAUUGGACAAUGGGCGAAAGCCUGAUCCAGCCAUGCCGCGUGAGUGAUGAAGGUCUUCGGAUCGUAAAGCUCUGUGGGAAGGGACGAAAAAAUCUAACCUAAUACGUUAGAGCUUGACGGUACCUUCUUAGCAAGCACCGGCUAACUCCGUGCCAGCAGCCGCGGUAAUACGGAGGGUGCAAACGUUGCUCGGAAUUAUUGGGCGUAAAGCGCACGUAGGCGGUCCGCUAAGUUGGAUGUGAAAGCCCUCGGCUUAACCGAGGAAGUGCAUCCAAAACUGGCGGGCUAGAGUACGGAAGAGGGUUUCGGAAUUCCCGGUGUAGAGGUGAAAUUCGUAGAUAUCGGGAGGAACACCAGUGGCGAAGGCGGAAACCUGGGCCGAUACUGACGCUGAGGUGCGAAAGCGUGGGGAGCAAACA